ensembl:lncRNA
AUGAUUGAAAGCUGUCAUGAUAAGGGAUGUUUGUUUUUAUCCAGGCACACAGAGAGGAGCAAGGGAAUGAGCACCACCUUCCUCCUCAGUACUGUCCCCGGACCAGGUGGACCUGCUGCUGGUACUCAGGGUGUCCCAUCACAGUCUCGGAAGGUGAACCCUGUGCUACCUCAGAGGCUGUUGCAGCACCCUCAACCUGAAGACCCCUCAGGGCUGGCAACCACACACCGUGGGCCUGUGGCACCGGCCCUGUAUGCCCUGAUCGUCUUUCCUGCCAUGACCUCUGCAGCCUCCACCACCAUCACUGCUUCUCCUGACACAAUCACCACUAUCACCCACCAUGCCAUCUCCAUCACCGCUGCUGCGCCUGCUGCUGCGCCUGCUGCUGCGCCUGCUGCUGCGCCUGCUGCUGCUGCUGCGCCUGCUGCUGCUGCUGCUGCUGCUGCUGCUGCUGCUGCUGCUGCUGCUGCUGCUGCUCCUGCUGCACCUGCUGCUGCUCUUGCUGCCGCCGCCGCCGUUCCUCGCUCCACAGCCUGGCAGAGGAGGAUUAGAGAGGAGGAGCUGCGUCGUCAGCGAGAAAGGGGUCUCCCUCUUAAAGAGAGGAAGAUCUUUACACACUUCCGCUGUGGCCGCUGUGGUCAGCCCAAGACCAAACAGUAUGGCCACAGCCGCUACAGGGGAGAGUUCUUCUGUGCCACAUCGGAGGGUCGCUCUGUGGAUGACUGGUUGAAAGAGAAGAGACGACUGGACCCGAAAUACCAGCAGCCGCGCAGGUGAAGGACAAUACACAACAAUGCACGUGACUCCUUUUAAUCUUUUUUCUAAUUGCAGGACACACCAACUUGACGUGCAGCAUAGUGUCACUUGUAUAUAGUUUGUGUAAUUUUGCUUGUAUAUAUUUUGUGUGUAUUUUGAAGUAUUUUGUUACAAAUUUGUAAUGUACAUAGUUUAAUUUUACUGUUGACAAUGUUCUCAAGCUAAUUCAAUUGAUGUUUUUGUUACAUAAAAAAUCUUUUCAAAGGAUCAGUUCAGUGUUGACAUCUUUUCUUUGUAAUUACAUAAUGUAUAAUUUAUAAAUCUGAUGUGAACCAGGUUAAUGAUGAGGAUCGAACAUGAUCGUAUUGAUCCAUCAUGCCACAUCUAGUGAGAGAGUAGAACAUUUGAUCAGAUCUGUGUGUCCCUCACUGUCAGACACUCGCCCAAUCACCAGCUCCCGAUCACUUCACCUUGACACUCGCCCAAUCACCAGCUCCCAAUCACUUCACCUUUAUUCCAGGGAGACGAUCGUUCAGGGUAAAAGGCCCAUCUCCUGCCGACGGCCCCAGGUGGUCUAGGCGGCUCACAAUACACAUUGUAUAUCCUGUAGGUGUGACUCUGUGGGGGGCAGGUAGGAGCCCCAUAAAGGCUGGCUGGAUGAGGCUGUUGGUCUCGUCAAGGUCUAGUCUCAGGCUGCAACAACUUUGGGGAAGUCCACAAAAAAGAAAUGGAAAACUUUGGAAGGUGAGGUCUAACUGGAUUCUUUAUCUUCUUCUUUUUGCUAUCAACUGUAUAUGUGUUCAGCCCUUCAUUAAUCAUUACAUGUUGAACUAUUAUUUACAGAACAGCACCUUUGAUAAAACACAUAGAGAGAAAAAGGAGCCAGGAGUAUACAGAAGGUUUGUAUUUUUUUACUGCACUCAAUAUUAACUUGUAUUUUUCAUUACAUUACAGCAAUGAUGUGAUUGACAUGCUUCUGGUUUUACUUAGAAACAUCAAGGGUAUCUUCUGAGGACGAAUCCCUUGCCUGGCACUCCCCAUGGAGAUCAUCAUCCUCCUCACCCGCCACAAGCACUGCCAACAUUGCUUUUCCAGAGGCUGCCACCGCCGCUGCCACCACCGCCACCGCCGCUGCCACCACCGCCGCCGCCAACGCUGCCGCCGCUGCCGCCGCUGCCGCCGCUGCUUCACUACAAGAACAUGCUGCUUGCUUAAAAAAGGAGGAAGGGCGCCAACAACAGCGCCAAGAGGAGCCCCAAGAAGAGCUCCAAGAGGAGCCCCAAGAGGAGCCCCAAGAAGAGACCCACGAAGAGCGCCAAAGCCAAUGCCGAAAUUGUGGACUUCCCAGGACCCUGUCGAAGGGGCAUGCCUUUUACAAAGGGCAUUUCUACUGCACACACACUGCAGGGCCUGGGGCAAAGUCUGCCAAUGAGUGGCUGAAGGAGCAGGAAGAAAAGGAAGCACCAAAAAUUCCCAGGACAACUGCCUUCACCAUGAGGAAAAAGUGGGAGAAUGAGCACAGUUUCAAACCUCCAGAAAACAGAAGGAAGCCGAAUAAACUUAGAAUCUGCCAGCUGUGUGGCCUGCCA